CAGCCAUGCCGCGUGUGUGAGAAGGCCUUCGGGUUGUAAAGCUCUUUCAGUUGUGAAGAAAGUUAGUAGUUAAUACCCGUUUGCCCGGACUUUAAGAUUACAGCACGC
rnacentral:rRNA from 1 species